rnacentral:rRNA from 1 species
ACAAACUCCGAAUGCCAAUUAAUUUAACUUGGGAGUCAGAACAUGGGUGAUAAGGUCCGUGUUCGAAAGGGAAACAGCCCAGACCACCAGCUAAGGUCCCAAAAUAUAUGUUAAGUGGAAAAGGAUGUGGCGUUGCCCAGACAACUAGGAUGUUGGCUUAGAAGCAGCCAUCAUUUAAAGAGUGCGUAAUAGCUCACUAGUCGAGUGACACUGCGCCGAAAAUGUACCGGGGCUAAACAUAUUACCGAAGCUGUGGAUUGUCCUUUGGACAAUGGUAGGAGAGCGUUCUAAGGGCGUUGAAGCAUGAUCGUAAGGACAUGUGGAGCGCUUAGAAGUGAGAAUGCCGGUGUGAGUAGCGAAAGACGGGUGAGAAUCCCGUCCACCGAUUGACUAAGGUUUCCAGAGGAAGGCUCGUCCGCUCUGGGUUAGUCGGGUCCUAAGCUGAGGCCGACAGGCGUAGGCGAUGGAUAACAGGUUGAUAUUCCUGUACCACCUAUAAUCGUUUUAAUCGAUGGGGGGACGCAGUAGGAUAGGCGAAGCGUGCGAUUGGAUUGCACGUCUAAGCAGUAAGGCUGAGUAUUAGGCAAAUCCGGUACUCGUUAAGGCUGAGCUGUGAUGGGGAGAAGACAUUGUGUCUUCGAGUCGUUGAUUUCACACUGCCGAGAAAAGCCUCUAGAUAGAAAAUAGGUGCCCGUACCGCAAACCGACACAGGUAGUCAAGAUGAGAAUUCUAAGGUGAGCGAGCGAACUCUCGUUAAGGAACUCGGCAAAAUGACCCCGUAACUUCGGGAGAAGGGGUGCUCUUUAGGGUUAACGCCCAGAAGAGCCGCAGUGAAUAGGCCCAAGCGACUGUUUAUCAAAAACACAGGUCUCUGCUAAACCGUAAGGUGAUGUAUAGGGGCUGACGCCUGCCCGGUGCUGGAAGGUUAAGAGGAGUGGUUAGCUUCUGCGAAGCUACGAAUCGAAGCCCCAGUAAACGGCGGCCGUAACUAUAACGGUCCUAAGGUAGCGAAAUUCCUUGUCGGGUAAGUUCCGACCCGCACGAAAGGCGUAACGAUUUGGGCACUGUCUCAACGAGAGACUCGGUGAAAUCAUAGUACCUGUGAAGAUGCAGGUUACCCGCGACAGGACGGAAAGACCCCGUGGAGCUUUACUGUAGCCUGAUAUUGAAAUUCGGCACAGCUUGUACAGGAUAGGUAGGAGCCUUUGAAACGUGAGCGCUAGCUUACGUGGAGGCGCUGGUGGGAUACUACCCUAGCUGUGUUGGCUUUCUAACCCGCACCACUUAUCGUGGUGGGAGACAGUGUCAGGCGGGCAGUUUGACUGGGGCGGUCGCCUCCUAAAAGGUAACGGAGGCGCUCAAAGGUUCCCUCAGAAUGGUUGGAAAUCAUUCAUAGAGUGUAAAGGCAUAAGGGAGCUUGACUGCGAGACCUACAAGUCGAGCAGGGUCGAAAGACGGACUUAGUGAUCCGGUGGUUCCGCAUGGAAGGGCCAUCGCUCAACGGAUAAAAGCUACCCCGGGGAUAACAGGCUUAUCUCCCCCAAGAGUUCACAUCGACGGGGAGGUUUGGCACCUCGAUGUCGGCUCAUCGCAUCCUGGGGCUGUAGUCGGUCCCAAGGGUUGGGCUGUUCGCCCAUUAAAGCGGUACGCGAGCUGGGUUCAGAACGUCGUGAGACAGUUCGGUCCCUAUCCGUCGUGGGCGUAGGAAAUUUGAGAGGAGCUGUCCUUAGUACGAGAGGACCGGGAUGGACAUACCUCUGGUGUACCAGUUGUCGUGCCAACGGCAUAGCUGGGUAGCUAUGUGUGGACGGGAUAAGUGCUGAAAGCAUCUAAGCAUGAAGCCCCCCUCAAGAUGAGAUUUCCCAACUUCGGUUAUAAGAUCCCUCAAAGAUGAUGAGGUUAAUAGGUUCGAGGUGGAAGCAUGGUGACAUGUGGAGCUGACGAAUACUAA